CACUCCACGAGACAACAACUACACAAUCUCCAGGAGGUUUCACUUUUUCUAUAUUUUCAAAAUGACUAUCAAACAAUUUUUAAUUGAAUAUGAUGACAUCAAUGGUCAAAACAGCUUCACCAAUGGAGAUACCAUCAAUGGAAGAAUUGUUGUGGAGGUCUUGAAAAAAACUAAACUCAAAUCAAUCACUUUUAUUGCAAAAGGAAAAGAAAAAUUUCGUUUGAUGAUACACCGUGUAACGCUGGGCUAUUCUUCGGAAACUUCCUAUCCAUCUGAGGAGAUAUUUUAUCGGGUCGAAGAAGACAUCUUAAAAAAUGGCACUCAAAUUAUUGGUAAAGGAAGACAUGUGUUUCCCUUUUCCUUCAAGAUUCCUGACAGGCCAAUGCCACCCUCUUCAGCCACAGUUCACCAUAAGCCAAAGGCAAAGCUUAAACAACCAAUGAUGACACAAAAAACAUUUGAAACUGACUUCACAUUUUCUCCAAAAGAUAACAUGGAUAGCCUUCCACUUAUGGGGAGGCUCUUCAAGUCCAAGUUGAAGUCAAUAACCAGUCAAGUCGAUCAGUGAAGCCCACAUACGUGCUGUAUCAAAAGCAAACUCGUUCUCUGCCAGGCAAAGCAAUUUAAAAAGGCACCUACACUUUUGAUAAAGAUGCUUAAAUGGGACCUUAAGUGGAGGCUUUUUCCACUUUUCUGACCUAAAAAUGUAGAUAGAAUGUUGUAUUCUUUAAACCAUGCCAAAAAGCACAUGUUGAAUAGAACAAAUAUAUUAGCAAUUGAUAAGAAAAUGAAGACAGGAUAGGAAUUAAUUAGUUCUGCUUUUUUGAAUUGUAAUAUGUGCUGUAUAUCAAAGUAAAAUAUAUGUAUGUUCAAAUAAAAUCAAACCAAUACUUAAAGGUAUGAAAACGUGUCCAUGCAUGGAAACACCGUGGAACAUAUAUACAUACAUAUAUACAUAUAUAUACAGAUGCUCCACCAACUAACUGUAACUACGUUCCUCAUCACCAAAAUCUGACCACAACUGGGCUCUUGGGACAAAUUGGGGGGUAAAUCAUAGUUGAUGCACUACACUGCUGAUGGGGAUGCCACACAAUUUCAUGUUAAAAAAUUCAAACCAUCUCUUUAAGACCUUGAUCAUGAUUUUUGUUGAUGUUGAUGAUGUUUAAAUUAUGACUGAUGAAUCUUUGAAAGUUUACAUCUAAACCUUGUUAAGCUUACAAACAACAUUAAUGACCACCAGAGUAUGAACCUUAGGGGUUCUAUGGCAACUAAAACUUAUUUGCUUAUUUUCUUGUAGCCCAUCCCAGUCUUGUACAGAUCUACAAUUUUAUCCCUAAUGUCCUUAAACAGCUCUUUGGCCUUGGCCAUUGUGGAGAGGUUGCAGUUUGUUUGUGCGUGUGUACAGGUGUCUUUUAUACAGGUAACGAGUUCAAACAGGUGCAGUUAAUACAGGUAAUCAGUGGAGAACAGAACUUCUUAAAAAAGAACCAACAAGUCUAUGAGAGCCGAACGUUUUACCGGUUGUUAGGUGAUCAAAUACUUAUUUCAUGCAAUUAUAUGCAAAUGUAUGUAUACGCUUAACCCAUCAAAUUAGAAAAACAGCACACCCCACAACCCUAGUGAGAAAAAGUGUUAUAGAAAAUGGAUGGAAAUUAGGAAAAGUGUACAAUUAUUAUAUAUUACUAUGUACAUAGACUACCGUUUUUGAAUGACAAACAUUGAAUGAAUUAACCAGGUUAAUAUGAGGGUUAAGACAUGAUUGGUGGAAUUUUACAGCAAGCAAAUGGAAAAUUUCCCUCAAUGGGAAAUUUCUAGAAGCUAAUGGAAUUGUACAGGCAAUUUAAACCCGUGACUUCAAACCUGUUUUACAGGCUCUUGCAAAGGCUCAGCUCACUCAUUCAACCACAUGAUCUUGAUCUGUGCAGAGCUUUUUACCUGCUGUCCUCUUUCGAAUAGCUUCACAAAUAAAGUCUUCAUGGAUUCUUUGAAAGAAACUGAAAUCCAGUCAUUAACUUUUUUUGUAAAAGGAAAGCAAAUAUUUGAUUCGUCAAUACAUCGUUCUAAUUUUUACACCGACUACCAAUCCCAGGAGAAAUGUAACUAUGUCAAACAAGAUGGUCUAAAAUCAGGUCCCCAAAUUAUUGUUGAAGGAAGAUGUGUUUUUAAUUUUUCUUUCAAGAUUCCUGACAGAGUAAUGCCUUCUUCUUCAUGUUGGGUUCAGUAUAAGUUAAAGGCGACGCUUAAACAACUAAUGAAGCAAGAAAGAAUUGUUGAAUCUGGCUUCAUAUUUCUUCCUAAAGAAAGCAUGGAUAGCCCUCUACCAAUGGAACCUCAGCAUGUUCACAUCCCCAAAAAAGUCUGGGCUUCUGGAGCAGUAGCAAUGGAUGUUUACACCCAAAGAAUAUCAUACAGGCCAGGUAAUAUAUACAGCACACACACACAUGUACAGUAUAUGUGAACACACAUAUAUAAGUAUAGUAUUAUAGUAUUGUUUUGGUGUGGAUUUAUCAUUUUCCAAAGGUUACCAAUUAUUAUAAAUAUCAAUAAGCUGCUAAACAUAUUGCAGAAUGAUGUACACCUCUGCCGUCUUCAAUCAGUUAGAGAGAAAAACUUUCGCCUAUGCUCAGAUUUGGAACACUUCCUCUCAUUUGUGAAAGAGGAGGGACAGGGUGCGGCAUAAUUUCAUGCACAUGAAAUGGUAACAGACACAUUUCAAAAUCGAAAUAAAACCCACGGCACUUAGGUUCUCACACGACUGCAUUAAUGUGCGUAAUGUGCGUAGCUGCUGCUAAACCUACAAAAGCAUUUCAAAUGGAGUGGGGAAAAAGAAUAAUGUAAGACUCGGAAUGGGAGGAUAACUUUUUUGGGGCUGACUCCAUGUAAAGUAAUGUAAUGGAACGUCAAUGUAACAUUACUGAUGCUAAGUGACCAGAAUACUGCAUGUCAACCACAUAACAAUGAUCACUUAUCAAUUCAUGACUUUUUGAAAAAUUGCGAUAGAGUGAGGGAAUGAUGUUCAAACCACGAUCGAACGAGGGAUGACUUGCACUCUCAAAAACAUGCAUGUUUGGUUAAUUGAAGACUUGUCUGUAGGUAUGAAUAUGAGUGUGUAUGGUUGUUUGUCUAUAUGUGCCCUGUGAUUGGCUGGAGACCGUCCAGGAUGUACAAAGUCAGCUGGGAUAGCCUUGUGAGCCUAAUGAGGACACGUAGUAUAGAAAAUGGAUGGAUGGAUGGCACUGACUUCUUCGUCUUUCUCUUUGAGCUUUUCCCUUCAGAGGUCGCCACAGCAGAUCAAUCUCGUCCAUCCAACCCUGUCCAUCUGUCUCUCUCACACCAACUGCCCUCAUGUCCUCCUUCACUACAUCCAUAAACCUCCUCUUUGGUCUCCCUCUACACCUCCUACGUGGCAGCAUCCUUCUACCAAUAUAUUAACGAUCUCAGUCCGGCCUCUCAUAUUUUUUCUCCAAGGCCUCUAACAUGUAAUGUCCCUCUGAUCUACUCGUUCCUGAUCCUAUCCAUCCUGGUCACUCCCAAUGAGAACCUCAGCAUCCUCAUCUCUGCUACCUCUAGUUCUGCUUUCUGUCUUUUCCUCAGUGGCUGGUCUCAUGGCUGGUCUCACCACAGUUUUGUAUACAUUUCCUUUCAUUUUAGCUGAAACUCUUCUAUCACACAUCACGCCUGACACUUUUGUGUCACAGUGAUGGCACUAACUAUCCAAUAUUAUAUUAUGAUCCGUUGUUAAUUAAUAUAACGUGUUUCACAAAUAAUUUAUGCCUUUUAAUCUAUUUGAUCUUAGUUACAAACAUCUAUCCAUCCAUUUUCUUUUGCCUAUCUGGGUAUGGGUAUUGGGGGGCAGCAGUCUCAGCCACCUCUUCCAGUUUUAAUGGGGGGUACUGAGGCGUUCCCAGGCCAGCUGUGAGACAUAAUCCCUCCAGCGUGUCCUUGGUAGGGCAUGCCUGGAACACCUUACCAAGGAGGCCUCCAGGAGACAAGAUGUUCGAGCCACCUCAGCUGCUCCUUGUGAUGUGAAGGAGCAGCAGCUAUACUUUGAGCUCCUCCCGGAUGAUGGUGCUCAUCACCAUCUUAGACAACAUUUUUCAAAAAAUGUGAGACUGUCCGAGUCACAGCUGAAAUAAAAAACAAGUCAAGUCAUUCAGUCAAGCCAACGUACAUAUUGUACUGGAAGCCAAACUGGACUGUCUCAGGUCAAAGGAUACGUUACAUGUUUCCUAUUCUUGAGAAAAAAGCCAAGCCUGUUGCCGCCCAUAGCAGAAAGAUUGUGACCAAGAUGAUUACCAUCCCCAAAGGGUUUCCUCCUUCCAUGUCAAUCAGACCAGAACUCAAGAAUGAGUACUUCCUGAAGGUCAAUCUGGAUAUGACAGGGACAAACUUCAAACUUCAAGUCAAGCUUCCAAUAUUUGUCCAGUCUGACAGUGUUGCAUCACAACAACAAUCACUGAAUGCUGUUGACCUUGGAUUUCGUGGCUAUCACAACCAAAAGCAAGACAUGAGUGAUGGAGGACAACCAAAAAAGAAGGCCCGAUCUAUAGGCUGUCCUAUUGAUUUCAAAGAAAUAGAAAAGGAUAUGUACCUGAUGGAUGAAUACAAACCAGAUUAUUCUGAGGGUUUCAACUAACGAUUAUUAAAACAACAAGAGAACUUACUGUUUUGUUGUUG